AGCGAACGCUGGCGGCAGGCCUAACACAUGCAAGUCGAACGAACUCUUCGGAGUUAGUGGCGGACGGGUGAGUAACACGUGGGAACGUGCCUUUUGGUUCGGAAUAACUCAGGGAAACUUGUGCUAAUACCGAAUGUGCCCUUCGGGGGAAAGAUUUAUCGCCAUUAGAGCGGCCCGCGUCUGAUUAGCUAGUUGGUGAGGUAACGGCUCACCAAGGCGACGAUCAGUAGCUGGUCUGAGAGGAUGACCAGCCACACUGGGACUGAGACACGGCCCAGACUCCUACGGGAGGAAGCAGUGGGGAAUCUUGCGCAAUGGGCGAAAGCCUGACGAAGCCAUGCGGGGGGAAUGAUGAAGGUCUUAGGAUUGUAAAAUUCUUUCACCGGGGACGAUAAUGACGGUACCCGGAGAAGAAGCCCCGGCUAACUUCGUG
rnacentral:rRNA from 1 species